rnacentral:rRNA from 1 species
GUUGACCUCGGAUCAGGUAGGAAUACCCGCUGAACUUAAGCAUAUCAAUAAGCGGAGGAAAAGAAACCAACAGGGAUUGCCCUAGUAACGGCGAGUGAAGCGGCAACAGCUCAAAUUUGAAAUCUGGCCUCGGCCCGAGUUGUAAUUUGCAGAGGAUGCUUUUGGCGCGGUGCCUUCCGAGUUCCCUGGAACGGGACGCCACAGAGGGUGAGAGCCCCGUAUGGUUGGACACCUAGCCUGUGUAAAGCUCCUUCGACGAGUCGAGUAGUUUGGGAAUGCUGCUCAAAAUGGGAGGUAAAUCUCUUCUAAAGCUAAAUACCGGCCAGAGACCGAUAGCGCACAAGUAGAGUGAUCGAAAGAUGAAAAGCACCUUGAAAAGGGGGUUAAACAGUACGUGAAAUUGUUGAAAGGGAAGCGCUUGUGACCAGACUUGCGCCGGGCGGCUCAUCCGGGGUUCUCCCCGGUGCACUCCGCCCGGCUCAGGCCAGCAUCGGUUCUCGUGGGGGGAUAAGACUGGUGGGAACGUAGCACCCUCCGGGGUGUGUUAUAGCCCGCCUGACGAUACCCCCGUGGGGACCGAGGUUCGCGCUCCGCAAGGAUGCUGGCGUAAUGGUCAUCAGCGACCCGUCUUGAAACACGGACCAAGGAGUCGUCCAUUAUAGCGAGCGUUUGGGUGUAAAACCCGCACGCGUAAUGAAAGUGAAAUUAGGUGAGAGCUUCGGCGCAUCAUCGACCGAUCCUGAUGUUCUCGGAUGGAUUUGAGUAAGAGUUAUAACGGACGGACCCGAAAGACAGUGAACUAUGCUUGUAUAGGGUGAAGCCAGAGGAAACUCUGGUGGAGGCUCGCAGCGGUUCUGACGUGCAAAUCGAUCGUCAAAUAUGAGCAUGGGGGCGAAAGACUAAUCGAACUGUCUAGUAGCUGGUUACCGCCGAA